rnacentral:rRNA from 1 species
GGGAUAGAAUUCCAGGAGUAGCGGUGAAAUGCGUAGAUAUCUGGAGGAAUACCAAAGGCGAAGGCAGUCCCCUGGUCCGAUACUGACACUGAGGUACGAAAGCGUGGGGAGCAAACAGGAUUAGAUACCCUGGUAGUCCACGCCCUAAACGAUGUCGAUUAGCCAUUGGAAGGACCCCUUUUCCUUUCAGUGACGUAGCUAACGCGUUAAAUCGACCGCCUGGGAAGUACGACCGCAAGGUUAAAACUCAAAGGAAUUGACGGGGACCUGAACAAGCGGUGAAUGAUGUGGAUUAAUUCGAUGCUACGCGAAGAACCUUACCUACCUUUGACAUGGCCAAAGUUCUACCGAGAGGCGGAAGUACUCGUAAGAGGAUUGGCGCACAGGUGCUGCAUGGCUGUCGUCAGUUCGUGUCGUGAGAUGUUGGGUUCAGUCCCGCAACGAACGCAACCCUUAUCUUUAAUUGCUCCUAUUUUAACAGGCACUUUAAAGAAACUGCCAAUGAUAAGUUGGAGGAAGGUGGGGAUCACGUCAAGUCCGCAUGGCCUUUAUAGGUAGGGCUUCACACGUCAUACAAUGGUUAGAACAAAGAGCUGCAAAUUCGUAAGAAGGAGCCAAUCUCACAAACCUAACCUCAGUUCGAAUUGCGGUCUGCAACUCGAGCGCAUGAAGCCGGAAUCGCUGGUAAUCGUGGAUCAGAAUGCCACGGUGAAUACGUUCUUAGGUCUU